AACCUUUCUCAACUUUUUGGCUAAGAUCAAGUGUGGUAUUUGUUUUUAUUAGUUUAAUAUUUGAUAUGUGGGCCAACAAGUCACACGAUAUUAGUUUACUUUUUUGAGGGGGAGGGAGAGACUAAUUCAGUAGUUGCUACUGGUUUCUCAAGUGUCGUAUUUGUGUUGCAAUAUCGCAUGGGCUGAUGAACCCCAC
rfam:Medicago truncatula strain A17 chromosome 2, whole genome shotgun sequence.